rnacentral:rRNA from 1 species
GCCACAGCCAUAUCACCCUACAACCCAAGACUGGUCACCCACUGAAGCUAAGCAGGGCAGAGCUGGUCAGUACCUGGAUGGGAGACCUCCUGGGAAAACUAGGUUGCUGCUGGAA